GAGUGAACGCUGGCGGUAGGCCUAACACAUGCAAGUCGAACGGCAGCACAGUAAGAGCCUGCUCUUACGGGUGGCGAGUGGCGGACGGGUGAGGAAUACAUCGGAAUCUACUUUUUUGUGGGGGAUAACGUAGGGAAACUUACGCUAAUACCGCAUACGACCUACGGGUGAAAGCAGGGGAUCUUCGGACCUUGCGCGAUUGAAUGAGCCGAUGUCGGAUUAGCUAGUUGGCGGGGUAAAGGCCCACCAAGGCGACGAUCCGUAGCUGGUCUGAGAGGAUGAUCAGCCACACUGGAACUGAGACACGGUCCAGACUCCUACGGGAGGCAGCAGUGGGGAAUAUUGGACAAUGGGCGCAAGCCUGAUCCAGCCAUACCGCGUGGGUGAAGAAGGCCUUCGGGUUGUAAAGCCCUUUUGUUGGGAAAGAAAAGCAGCAGGUUAAUACCCCGCUGUUCUGACGGUACCCAAAGAAUAAGCACCGGCUAACUUCGUG
rnacentral:rRNA from 1 species